UGCCAGUGACUUUGUUCACGGCCGCGGUAUUCUAACCGUGCGAAGGUAGCGUAAUCACUUGUUUUCCAAAUAAAGACUAGUAUGAAAGGCACCACGAGAAUUAAGCUGUCUCCUUUUUCCAAUCAGUGAACCUAAUCUCCCCGUGAAGAAGCGGGGAUUAAACUAUAAGACGAGAAGACCCUGUGGAGCUUUAAACAUCAUAAUACCUGCCUUUUUUCCCCCCCCCUACUACGGUAUCCCAUACACCUGGCUCCCUAAUUAUAUGUUUUUGGUUGGGGUGACCGUGGAAAAAAACUCAUCCUCCACAAUGAAAGGGAAUUUCCCUUAAACAAUAAGUUACAUCUUUAUGUAUCAAAAUAUUGACAUGUAUCGACCCAAUAAUUGAUCAAUGAACCAAGUUACCCCAGGGAUAACAGCACAAUCCACUUUGAAAGCCCAUAUCGACAAGUGGGCUUAUGACCUCGAUGUUGGAUCGGGGUAUCCUAGUGGUGCAGCCGCUACUAAAGGUUCGUUUGUUCAACGAUUAAAACCCC
rnacentral:rRNA from 1 species